ACAUCCCCUUUACCGCUGCUGAGGGCGCCCACACUUGUCACCGUGGCUGGCUCUUGAAAGAGCUGCUGGAGAGAUCGCCUUCCACUGCUAUCCAUAACUAAAGAUCUGCGAGUUUUAAUGCAAUAGUGAUCUAGUGCACUGUGCAAUCAUAAUUAAAGGCUCACCAGAAGAAGCAGCAGAAUGGGAACAGGAAGAAACAGACAUUUAACUUCUUGACAGAAAUAAAAGUUGUUUAACUAUUCUCCAAAGCAGCGCUGUCACUUUGAACUAUCACCACCUAUUGCACCUUUUACUCUUUGCGAUAGUAUGAACUCAAAAGACUGAACUGGGUAAUGCUGUGUGAAGGACCAUUUCAGAGAAUACAUAGGCCAAAUUAAGUAUUCCAAACAUGGAAGAAAUCCAGAAACAAGACCCAACUUACAAAAGCUGAGGUU